CGCGGGGUAGAGCAACGGUAGCUCGUCUGGCUCAUAACCAGGAGGCAGUGGGUUCAACUCCCACCCCCGCAA
rnacentral:tRNA from 1 species